GAGUGUCAACUGAAAAGUACGGCAACCGAACCGCGGCAAAACAGUGUUAAGCGUUACGUGUUAUACGUGUUAUACGCGUUAUACGCUGCAUGCUCGGAAGACCCGAUAUAUUCUUCUCGCCACGGUCGUCAAACUCAAUCGGACAUAUCGUCGGGUGGACGGAUGGAUAAAUUACCCCGCUACGGGUGCUUGCAAGCACGCUCCCCUCCGGGUUGGUGUCGCGGUUCGCGCCCCGGGGGAUCCCCGGUCAUCUUACAAGCUCUUCCUUCUCGCCGAUAAAAAAAUCACGCCGCACAACUAGGUUUAUUAAUUUCUCCGUGACCCCGGACCCGAUGACUGAUCAAUAAGCGUCCGACCGUUUCAAUGACGGGCCAAAUUUUUUCAUUCCCAAUCCUUCCGACUCCGAAAGAGCGAGGGAGAAGAAAUUGGACAGCGUGAAGAGAACGGGACAACCUUGUGCACGGUUCGGCAGGGGAAUAACAGUUUCUUGGUAUACGACUUCCGGUUAUUAUUUCCGACCGCACAACCGCGAGUGAUAGGCUCUACGUCAUGCGGAAAAAGUGCGGAGUGCACUCUCUGUAAUUAUUGGUCUGACGCCCGGUCGACGGACAUUCGGAAAAGGUUUUGUACGCGGUGGCGCUGUGCACUCGACGACGGAGGAUAAAAAAUGCAUGUGUGAGGCACGGACAAACGAGCGUGCGAGGGAUCGAUCGAUCAUAUUUUUCAAACUGUUUUGUCGCCCCGUUGUGCGGUCCACAUGCAUACGUUCUGAGGGUGUGCAUGAUCCAUGUGCCCACUGUGAACAGGGAACGAGGAACGAAGAGCGGCCAUGUUGUCACCUCGAACAUCUGCCACCCGGUUGCUCGGUUCGCAGGUCGACGUUGCAGUGUAGGACUGGUGUCAAUGCGAAACGAGCUGGUUAAACGUGUCGGCUGAGUGUUUGUCCGAGCAGGCCGCCGGCGAUAAUUCCGGCGAAAAUGCGGUGCCGAAAUCAUCGCGAAUCGGGCUCGCGUUUGAAUGAUAUCCUACGUACGUAGAUAUUCAAUUAGCUAAACCACGCCGCGAUCAUAUCGCACGAACGCCGGACGGGGAUUUAAUUAUAACCGUCAGUCAGACUCUCUUGCAACGGUGUUAAAAUAUUUCAACGAAAAACCACGAUCUGGUCUCGUGGUAAUGUUAUUCCCAAGGAUAGAUCAUCGGCUUCGUAUAUUCUGCGUGCCAAACACGCAUCAAGGACAAUUAGUGCGAGGAUAUCUUUUUCGAUGACGCGAUCGAACGCGAUGAAGAAGUGAACAAAGGAAUACCUCGACUGGAGGGCCUGGAGCCAAAUUGCGGCUAAGAGAGAAAGAGAGAGAAAGAGAGAGAAAAUUUGUCUGCAUACGUACACGUCGAAGGGACAAAUUGGGACAAGGUUUCCGCGACAUCCGGCACUUUGGUUAAAGCCUCUUACAGGACUUUGGGCACGGCAUAAAGAGGCCAAAAGGAUCCGGGAGCCCGGUUCCAGGGGUGGAGAAACUUUGUGUCGAAUGGGACGCGCUCCCUCCGCUAAAUGCCGGGCUGCGGCCCAUUGUUGCACUCAAAAAUGUCAACGGCGUCACGCUUUGAGGACGCUCGACGCUCUGUGCUUCCAAAGAUUUCUUUCUAUACACGGAUUACCAUUGCUCCUCGAGUGCUGCGGGGAUUCGAGAACCUCGAGUAAAGUGCAUUACGGUUCAUCCGCGCAGGGAUCGAGACGACAGGUAGAAAAAUUCGUUGCGUUUAUUCGAUGAACCGGCCUCCCGUAAUCCACGCAACGAGUUGGCCAACAUUUUUUCCGUACACUGCAAUGGGAGAAAGGAAAUGAUCCGGUGCUCGAGGCAAGAAAUAAUCAUUGACCUAAAUUUUCACCGAACCCUCGUACAGGUCCGAAUCGGACCGAUUUCGUUUCCGAGACGAAGCACGCCUUCCCGUUCAGGAGUCAAGUCAUUCCAAACGGGACUCCAACGGUAUCCGAAGCCUAUCUUUUAUGCAGAAACCUCUAGCUUCGAGUGUACGCAAAGUUCCGUGCGACGGGACGUUGAGAACUAAAACUCUGUGUGCAUUAUUCAGGAACUUGCUACUGGCAUUUCUUCACCGAUGGUACAAAUAACGAGCCAUCACUAUCAAGUUGUCGUCUAUCAUUGAUGCAAUCAAUAGGCCAUGAGAUUGAAGACUCGACUAGUCGAGCCUCUGCACUGCUUGAGAACGAAUGAAUUUUGUAUUCCUUGACGUAUGAGUUACCUAUCCACGCAACGAGCAAAACUUCGUUGAUAGUUUGACUGACGGGAAUAGAACACCGGGAAAUAAAUAGACGAACGACGAUGACGCGUAAUGGCAAAUUUCUUUAUCUUUUUUUUUACACUAUCUACUUGUCCAUGGAUCGAUACGUUUUUCAACCUCGCAACGCGGAGUUCAGGUGUCGAGAGGAAGGAAGUGGGCAGGCCAAAGUAUCUAGUUCUGUCCUGAGCAUCCUGUCAAGUGGAUCCUCCGCGUACAAAAGGAUCAGACCCAUAAUUGGCUCCUCAAAGCACCUGCGAGCUCGGCUAGACCGUGCUGCAGCAGCAUUCUUUGACCCUUGAGAACCUUGCGCAAGGACCUUUGUCUGCCGAUAUUCGAUACGUUCGGGUCGUAUGCUGCAGGAAAAUUGUCGGAGAGAAAGAAAACUGAGAAGAAGAUCAGAGGGACCCCAAUUUCCACAAUUACGAAAAGGAUCCGAUGAAAUACACUGCGGUACAAGCGCAAGGCUUCGAAACUAGGAGACAAAGUUCUGGGCUCUGUAGAAAACUUUUCAUUCACCGCGUCGAAGUCCGUUCAACCUACAAUCGGGAACCGGGAAUCAAUUCCUUCGGCACGUAAAGCAGACCAAUUACAACCGAUGGGGUAAACACACGAGGGG